GAGUUUGAUCCUGGCUCAGAGCGAACGCUGGCGGCAGGCUUAACACAUGCAAGUCGAGCGGGCGUAGCAAUACGUCAGCGGCAGACGGGUGAGUAACGCGUGGGAACGUACCUUUUGGUUCGGAACAACACAGGGAAACUUGUGCUAAUACCGGAUAAGCCCUUACGGGGAAAGAUUUAUCGCCGAAAGAUCGGCCCGCGUCUGAUUAGCUAGUUGGUGAGGUAAUGGCUCACCAAGGCGACGAUCAGUAGCUGGUCUGAGAGGAUGAUCAGCCACAUUGGGACUGAGACACGGCCCAAACUCCUACGGGAGGCAGCAGUGGGGAAUAUUGGACAAUGGGCGCAAGCCUGAUCCAGCCAUGCCGCGUGAGUGAUGAUGGCCCUAGGGUUGUAAAGCUCUUUUGUGCGGGAAGAUAAUGACGGUACCGCAAGAAUAAGCCCCGGCUAACUUCGUGCCAGCAGCCGCGGUAAUACGAAGGGGGCUAGCGUUGCUCGGAAUCACUGGGCGUAAAGGGUGCGUAGGCGGGUCUUUAAGUCAGGGGUGAAAUCCUGGAGCUCAACUCCAGAACUGCCUUUGAUACUGAAGAUCUUGAGUUCGGGAGAGGUGAGUGGAACUGCGAGUGUAGAGGUGAAAUUCGUAGAUAUUCACAAGAAACACCAGUGGCGAAAGCGGCUCACUGGCCCGAUACUGACGCUGAGGCACGAAAGCGCGGGGAGCAAACAGGAUGAUAUACCCUGGUAGUCCACGCCCUAAACGAUGAAUGCCAGCCCGUUAAUGGGUUUUCUCACUAGGGGGCGCAUCUAAGCUUUAACCAUUCCGCCUGGGGAGCACGGUCGCAAGAAUAAAAAUCAAAGGAAUGUGAUUGGUGGCCCGCCCAAGCGGGGAGUGUGUGGGUUGAUUUCGACUCACCCCCCGAAAUUUCCACCGCUUGACUGCCUUGACCGGUCGGGAUCGAGACGUUCUCUUCUAUUUCGAUAUUGAGAGGUGA
rnacentral:rRNA from 1 species